rnacentral:rRNA from 1 species
CAGUGUGGCUCGAGAUUGAACGCUGGCGGGAUGCUUUACGCUGGAAUCAGGCAACGCUGGACUUCGGUCUGGUGGCGAGUGGCGAACGGGUGAGUAAUGUAUCGGGAACGUGCCUAGUAGCGGGGGAUAACUGCGGCGUGAAAAGCAAUACCGCACAUACGCCCUUCCAGGAAAGCGGGGGACCUUCGGGCCUCGCACUAUUAGAGCGGCCGAUAUCUGGAUUAGCGUUGGUGGGGUAACGGCUCACCAAGGCGACGAUCCGUAGCUGGUUUGAGAGGACGACCAGCCACACUGGGACUGAGACACGGCCAGACUCCUACAGGAGAGCAGCAGUGAAAUUUUGGACAAUGGGAAACCUGAUCCAGCCAUCCCGCGUGUGCGAUAAGCCUUCGGGUUGUAAAGCACUUUUGGCAGGAAAAACGGCACGGGAUAAUACCCCGUGCAAUGACGGUACCUGCAGAAUAAGCACCGGCUAACUACGUGCCAGCGGCGCGGGUAAUACGUAGGGUGCAAACGUUAAUCGGUGCCUGGGCGUAAAGCGUGCGCAGGCGGUUCGGAAGAAGAUGUGAAAUCCCAGAGCUUAACUUUGGAACUGCAUUUUUAACUACCGAGCUAGAGAGUGUGUCAGAGGAGGUGGAAUUCACGCGUGUAGCAGUGAAAUGCGUGAACCAUGCGGAGGAACACCGAUGGCGAAGGCAACCUCACAGGAUACGCGAGCGCUCAUGCACGAAAGCGCGGAGCGACAGGAUUAGAUACCCUGGUAGUCCACGCUUUUUAAACGAUGUCAACUAGCUGUUGGGGCCUUCGGGCCUUGGUAGCGCAACUAGCGUGAAGUUCUGACCGCCUGGGAGUACGGUCGCAGGAACCCAAAACUCAAAGGAAUUGACGGGGACCCGCACAAGCGGUUGAUGUGGAUUAAUUCGAUGCAACGCGAAACCUUACCUACCUUGACGUAACCUGGAAUCCCGAAGAGAUUUGGGAGUGCUCGCAAGAGAACCGGAACACAGGUGCUGCAUGGCUGUCGUCAGCUCGUGUCGUGGAUGUUGGAGUUGAAGUCCCGCAACGAGCGCAACCCUUGUGCAUUAGUUGCUACGAAGGGCACUCUAAUGAGACUGCUUUCAGUGACAAACCGGAGGAAGGUGGGGAUGACGUCAAGUCCUCAUGGCCCUUAUGGGUAGGGCUUCACACGUCAUACAAUGGUCGGGACUGGGGUCGCCAACCCGCAGGGAGCCAAUCCCAGAAACCCGAUCGUAGUCCGGAUCGCAGUCUGCAAGCUCGACUGCGUGAAGUCAGAUCGUAGUAAUCGCGGAUCAGCAUGUCGCGGUGAAUACGUUCCCGGGUCUUGUACACACCGCCCGUCACACCAUGGGAGUGGGUUUUACCAGAAGUAGUUAACCGUAAGGAGGGCGAUUACACUGUGGUUUCAUGACUGGGGGUGAAGUCGUAACAAGGUAA